AUUGAACGCUGGCGGCAGGCCUAACACAUGCAAGUCGAACGGUAACAGGAAACAGCUUGCUGUUUCGCUGACGAGUGGCGGACGGGUGAGUAAUGUCUGGGAAACUGCCUGAUGGAGGGGGAUAACUACUGGAAACGGUAGCUAAUACCGCAUAACGUCGCAAGACCAAAGAGGGGGACCUUCGGGCCUCUUGCCAUCGGAUGUGCCCAGAUGGGAUUAGCUUGUUGGUGGGGUAACGGCUCACCAAGGCGACGAUCCCUAGCUGGUCUGAGAGGAUGACCAGCCACACUGGAACUGAGACACGGUCCAGACUCCUACGGGAGGCAGCAGUGGGGAAUAUUGCACAAUGGGCGCAAGCCUGAUGCAGCCAUGCCGCGUGUAUGAAGAAGGCCUUCGGGUUGUAAAGUACUUUCAGCGGGGAGGAAGGGAGUAAAGUUAAUACCUUUACUCAUUGACGUUACCCGCAGAAGAAGCACCGGCUAACUCCGUGCCAGCAGCCGCGGUAAUACGGAGGGUGCAAGCGUUAAUCGGAAUUACUGGGCG
rnacentral:rRNA from 1 species